rnacentral:tRNA from 1 species
GGAGAGGUGCCGGAGCGGCUGAUCGGGUUGGUCUCGAAAACCAAAGUGGGGGCAACUCCACCGGGGGUUCGAAUCCCCCCCUCUCCGCCA